AGCACCUGCCUGGAUUGGGUGUAAAGGAUCCUGAGAGCGACAGCUUGUGACAUCCUCCUGAGUGAUGCUGAGGUGAUGCAGUCCCGUCAUCUUCAGCCUGCAAAGCCAUCUUGCCCAAGAAGCCUCAUUCCCGGGGCAUCCGGCCAUACGAGAAAGGCUGCCGGGGCUAAAGACGUUACAGACGAAGCACCUACCUUCCUGAAGCCUGUGACUCCCGACGGCGUCCCUGGAGGACGUCCCGGCGUGAAGGCUGGACGCUGUCCUGUACGGUGAAUCAGAUGACUCCUCUGCUCGACCCAGUCCAUCUCCAAGGGGGAGCAUGAACAUCAGACAUCAUCACCACAGAUCUCCAAUACCGUUUGAGUUAAAUGGAUGCUAUGGGGCCUCCCGCGUAGGAGGGUAUGGAGAGAGACGGGAGCUGCUCAAAUGGACACUCACCUUCCUCCUCCUCUCCGUCCCCAGGGGCUCCAUCCACACGGCCUUUCCUGCUUCUCGAGGCUCCGUCCUGAGACCUGCCUGGGCACAUCCACACUUGCGGAGCCAGAGGCAGCCUCAGGGUCUGAACGCUGGCACCUGUCUGUGGAGCAGUCGGGAUUCCUCGGGGAAAAGAGAAACAGGUUCCGAUUAUUUUAGGUACCGAUGUCCCUGCAGCCUGGGGUCCAGGUAACGGUCUCGGUAACUACCCGCUUCCCCAUCUGCUGCUGAGACAUCUGUCCCCCCCGAGAACCCCAGCCCAGGGCUAAGGAGACCUUACAUCCUCGGGGACAGCCCCCUGCUGACCCUUCACUCUGGGUCCAGAAACAGUCCUGACGAAUCCGCCCGUCACGUAGCCCCGGGGUGUUGGCGAUUCUGUUCCAGUCUCUUCCUGUUCUAGAAUUUAUGAAUCCACCAUCGCUUAGUUAGCUGGACCCCCAGAGCCAGAAUAACCACACUGGUUGUUUUUUUUUUGUUCCCCCUCUGGGGUCAUCCCCCGCCUGUGUUCUGGGAUCAAAGCUUUUUUUUCUUUUUAGGGCCGUGACUGCAGCAUGUGGAAGUUCCCAGACUAUAGGGGUUGAAUCGGAGCUGCAGCUGCCAGUCUACACCGCAGCCAUGUGGGAUCCAAGCCACUUCUGUGACCUACACCACAGCUCACAGCAGAGGCAGAUCCUUAACCCAGGGAGUCCCCAUACCUCUCAUGAGAAGAUCUCCUGAGCAGUUCCCUGAGGCCGACGGAAAGGGGAACUGCCUGGGCGGACACCGGUCUCGCUGGGAAACUGAUGGUUGGUUCCGACGUGGCAGCGGCUUUGAGAGUUUUUAGAGAUUCCCCGAGAGAAAUCACUCUCUGCCAUCAAAUGACCACAGCAGAAUGACCGCAGUGCUCACAGCGCUAAGACUUCCCGCGAAGCCGUCUGCUCUGCUCCUGGGACGUCAGGUCAUAGGAGCUGGAAGGACCUCGCCGUCUCGGUGACAGUGACUACAAUUGGGAUUAACUUUCGGAGCAGAUGCUCGAUGGCUGUCUGCUUCCCACCUCUGUCACUGACGACUUACUUUCCAGGCAACCUCCCACCCUGGGUGCACGUGCCCACUGCCCGGCACAGAUGCACACAUGCAGACACAGACUUGUACAGAGAUGACACAUACACACCUGUACACACACACUCACAUAGACACACUUGUAGACACAUGCAUACACAAAACAUACAACAUGGGCAGACGUGCACAGACAUGCAGAAAUAGAUACACACACAUGCACAAAGACUCAGAUACAUAACACACAAGACCACACCCUCACACGGACACCCCUGUGCACAGAGUUCUCUAGAAUCCAAAAACCACUCUCCUGCCUUCUCUUUAACCAAGUUCAAAAACUACAGAUUUAUGGCCUUUCAUUUUUCUGAAUUGAAAAUACAACCAACAGUUCCCAGGUUCAGAUGCAUAUGUUUCUAGGCGUCUCAGCACUGUUGGAUGUAUGUAUAUUACAUAUGCUCGGCUGUCCCCACUUACACACGGACAUUCUAGAGGCGCUUGGGGUAGAUGAAUACAUGUAUACACACACACACACUGGGGUAGAUGGACGACCAGAUCAAUAGAUACCAGUUGCUAUAACUCACAGUAUGAGUCCGCUCAGCUGCCAAAAGCAGAUACCCCAGACGGGGCGGCUUCAACAAGAGGCAUUUCUCCCUCCUGGUACUGGAGGCUGGCAUCUGAAGUCCCCUGGCAAGGCGAGGCCACUGCCUGGACGUUCGCAAGUGCUCUGGCGGUUCUUACCGCGAGCCAGCCGGCUGGCUGGAGGAGACCUGCAGGUGACCACAGAGGAUGUCCAGGGGCAUGAGAGGAGAAGGAGAGCUGCCAGCAUCGUCUGUACCUCCCUGCUCUGCAGAGAUGCAGGAAGCAGUUCAGCUUCGGGCUGCUCUGGAGGACAGGCAGGAGGGCGGGUCCCAAAACCUUCGGACUCAGAUGGUCCCUGCUAGCCAGCUCCAAACUCUGUUCCUGCAAAUUCAGCCUCAGUGCAUCUGAGUCCACACACGUGUUCCAGAACCGGGGUGCUGGAUGUUGGGGCACGGGGAGGUGGGGGUGCAACCUGACCUCUGACACUGCAACACCCCCAGCAGGCAGCUUCUCAUGGGGCUCCAGCCAGGUGGACCGGUUGGGCAGGGGUGGGCAUGCUCCCCUUUGGAAGGGAACCCAAAGCACCUUAAGUCCUGCCCUCACAGAGUUCGCAGGCUCCUAGGGACGCUCGUGAAAAGCGGUUCGUGGAAAAGUAGAUCUUUCUCCCUGAGCUUUCGGCUUCUGCUCAUCUGUCCGGUCAUCAGAGCUUCCCAAGGAGUUACCUUUUCUGCGGUGUCCGCUCCCUCGCAGCCCUGGAUCCCGCAGCCUCUCGUGGUCCCUCUAAAGAAGUACCACAGACCGGGCAGCUUCAAAGGAAGAUGUGCUGUCUUCGUGUUUUAAAGGCCAAAGCGCUCAAGUCAGGCUGCCCGCAGGGCUGGUUCCUCCUGGAGCAGCUCCAGCGGAGAAUCUGCGGCCUCUCCCAGCUUCUGGAGGCGGCAGCAGUCCUGAGCGUGCGGUCCCUCCUCCAUCCCCAGAGCCUAAAGCCCAGCAUCUCGCGAUCAAACGGUCCUCUGCCUCUUAUGGGAACCUCUGUGAUGACGCUGGACCACCUGGAAAAUCCCGGCCAUCUCCCCAGCCAAGGUCCUUCAUGUGGCCACAGCUGCCAAGUCCCCUCUGCUGUGGACGUCACAGAGUCGCAAGGUCUGGGGGUCAGGGUGUGGACGUCCUUGGGGACAGGGCUCUGUCCCCCCACACACACUGAGCUCCUUCACUUCUAAUGCUGUCUUGCUGUAUCUUUAAACAACAGCCCAGAAAUAAACGCACACACCCAUGGCCCCUUAAUCUUCCACAAAGGAGGCAAGAACAUCAAAGGGGCAAAAGACAGUCUCUUCCCAACCAGGGUUGGGAAACCUGGACAGCUACACGUAAAUCAAUGAAACCAGAACACACCCUCACACCAUGCACAAAAAUAAUUGCAAAACGGGUUAAAGACACUAUGCCAUAUAUCUCUGAGAUCCCAGGCACAACAUUUUCUGAUGUAAAUCAUACCAUGUGUUUUCUUAGGUCAGUCUCCCAAGGUAAUGGAAAUAAAAGCAAAC
rnacentral:lncRNA from 1 species